rnacentral:rRNA from 1 species
CCCCGUGUUAUGCCCUAGUACGGCGAGUGAGCGGCAACAGCUCAAAUUUGAAAUCUGGCUCUCGGGCCCGAGUUGUAAUUUGUAGAGGAUACUUUUGAUGCGGUGCCUUCCGAGUUCCCUGGAACGGGACGCCAUAGAGGGUGAGAGCCCCGUCUGGUUGGAUGCCAAAUCUCUGUAAAGUUCCUUCAACGAGUCGAGUAGUUUGGGAAUGCUGCUCUAAAUGGGAGGUAUAUGUCUUCUAAAGCUAAAUACCGGCCAGAGACCGAUAGCGCACAAGUAGAGUGAUCGAAAGAUGAAAAGCACUUUGAAAAGAGAGUUAAAAAGUACGUGAAAUUGUUGAAAGGGAAGCGUUUAUGACCAGACUUGGGCUUGGUUAAUCAUCUGGGGUUCUCCCCAGUGCACUUUUCCAGUCCAGGCCAGCAUCAGUUUUCCCCGGGGGAUAAAGGCGGCGGGAAUGUGGCUCUCUUCGGGGAGUGUUAUAGCCCACCGUGUAAUACCCUGGGGGGGACUGAGGUUCGCGCAUCUGCAAGGAUGCUGGCGUAAUGGUCAUCAACGACCCGUCUUGAAACACGGACCA